rnacentral:rRNA from 1 species
AUACGUAGGGGGCGAGCGUUGUCCGGAAUGAUUGGGCGUAAAGGGCGCGUAGGCGGCUUUGCAAGUCAGUAGUGGAAGUCCAUUUUUCAAGGAUGGAAGUGCUACAGAAACUGCGGAGCUUGAGUGCAGGAGAGGUUAUCGGAAUUCCCGGUGUAGCGGUGAAAUGCGUAGAGAUCGGGAGGAACACCAGUGGCGAAGGCGGGUAACUGGACUGCAACUGACGCUGAGGCGCGAAAGUGUGGGGAGCAAACAGGAUUAGAUACCCUGGUAGUCCACACGGUAAACGAUGAAUGCUAGGUGUAGGAGGUAUCGACCCCUUCUGUGCCGCAGUAAACACAGUAAGCAUUCCGCCUGGGGAGUACGGUCGCAAGGUUGAAACUUAAAGGAAUUGGCGGGG